rnacentral:rRNA from 1 species
GAGCUCUCAAUCUGUCAAUCCUUCCGGUGUCCGGGCCUGGUGAGGUUCCCCGUGUUGAGUCAAAUUAAGCCGCAGGCUCCACUCCUGGUGGUGCCCUUCCGUCAAUUCCUUUAAGUUUCAGCUUUGCAACCAUACUUCCCCCGGAACUCAAAGACUUUGGUUUCCCGGAAGCUGCCCGUCUAGUCAUGGGAUUAACACAGACGGAUCGCUAGUCAGCAUCGUUUAUGGUUAGAACUAGGGCGGUAUCUGAUCGCCUUCGAACCUCUAACUUUCGUUCUUGAUUAAUGAGAACGUUCUUGGCAAAUGCUUUCGCAGUAGUACGUCUUGCGACGGUCCAAGAAUUUCACCUCUAGCGUCGCAAUACGAAUGCCCCCGUCCGUCUCUAUUAAUCAUUACCUCGGGUUCCGAAAACCAACAAAAUAGAACCGAGGUCCUAUUCCAUUAUUCCAUGCACAACUAUUCAGGCAUUAGCCUGCUUUGAGCACUCUAAUUUUUUCAAAGUAAACAUGCCGGCCACGCGGGACACCCGGUGAAGAGCACCCCGAGCGAGCCGACUAGCUGUUCGGACCGACAGUAAAUCGCCGAGGGCGCACCGUCGGUCCGGAACUGAGAUCCAACUACGAGCUUUUUAACCGCAACAACUUUAAUAUACGCUAUUGGAGCUGGAAU